rnacentral:rRNA from 1 species
GCGUGGAUGAUGAAGGCCCUAGGGUUGUAAAGUCCUUUUAACGGGGAAGAUAAUGACGGUACCCGUAGAAUAAGCCCCGGCUAACUUCGUGCCAGCAGCCGCGGUAAUACGAAGGGGGCUAGCGUUGCUCGGAAUUACUGGGCGUAAAGCGCACGUAGGCGGUCUUUUAAGUCGGGGGUGAAAUCCUGGAGCUCAACUCCAGAACUGCCUUCGAUACUGGAAGACUUGAGUCCGGGAGAGGUGAGUGGAACUGCGAGUGUAGAGGUGAAAUUCGU